rnacentral:rRNA from 1 species
AUUGAACGCUGGCGGCAGGCCUAACACAUGCGAGUCGAGCGGAUGAAGGGAGCUUGCUCCUGGAUUCAGCGGCGGACGGGUGAGUAAUGCCUAGGAAUCUGCCUGGUAGUGGGGGAUAACGUCCGGAAACGGGCGCUAAUACCGCAUACGUCCUGAGGGAGAAAGUGGGGGAUCUUCGGACCUCACGCUAUCAGAUGAGCCUAGGUCGGAUUAGCUAGUUGGUGGGGUAAAGGCCUACCAAGGCGACGAUCCGUAACUGGUCUGAGAGGAUGAUCAGUCACACUGGAACUGAGACACGGUCCAGACUCCUACGGGAGGCAGCAGUGGGGAAUAUUGGACAAUGGGCGAAAGCCUGAUCCAACCAUGCCGCGUGUGUGAAGAAGGUCUUCGGAUUGUAAAGCACUUUAAGUUGGGAGGAAGGGCAGUAAGUUAAUACCUUGCUGUUUUGACGUUACCAACAGAAUAAGCACCGGCUAACUUCGUG